rnacentral:lncRNA from 10 species
GGUCUUAGUCUUAGCUUGGCCCACACCCUGGUUGUGCAGAGUCUUACAGCCUCAAGCUUCUGCAGCUACUUCAACAGUUUUCCUUUUGCUAAUCAGGUUAAACUGCUGCUGGCAAUUUUCUAUUCUCCUGCAACCACCCUGAAUGACCCCUGUCUCAGGGGGACACAGGCACAGGCCCUUACAUGCUUACUCCUGGAAAGGAUGCAAGAAACCUAUGCUCACUUCUCAUAGCCCAAGGGACAUGCAAGGACAGGCGGUGUGGUGAAUUCAGCUC